rnacentral:rRNA from 1 species
GAUGAACGCUAGCGGCAGGCUUAAUACAUGCGAGUCGAGGGACAGCACGGGUAGCAAUACCUGGUGGCGACCGGCAAACGGGUGCGGAACACGUACGCAACCUUCCCAAAACUGGUGAAUAGCCCUCCGAAAGGAGGAUUAAUACACCGUACCAUAAUGAGAUGGCAUCAUUUUAUUAUUAUAGGCAGCGAUGUCGGUUU